GCUUGUCUCAAAGAUUAAGCCAUGCAUGUCUAAGUGUAAAUAAGUCUAUACUGUGAAACUGCGAAUGGCUCAUUAAAUCAGUUAUCGUUUAUUUGAUGAUCUCUUACUACUUGGAUAACCGUAGUAAUUCUAGAGCUAAUACAUGCACAAAAUCCCGACUUACGAAGGGAUGUAUUUAUUAGAUACAGAACCAACCCAGGCUCCGCCUGGCCUUGAGGUGAUUCACAAUAACCGAACGAAUCGCAUAGCUGCCGCUGGCGAUAGACCAUUCAAGUUUCUGACCUAUCAGCUAUCGUCGGUAGGGUAUUGGCCUACCGUGGCAAUGACGGGUAACGGAGAAUUAGGGUUCGAUUCCGGAGAGGGAGCCUGAGAAACGGCUACCACAUCUAAGGAAGGCAGCAGG
rnacentral:rRNA from 1 species